GGAAUUUUGGACAAUGGGCGAAAGCCUGAUCCAGCAAUGCCGCGUGAGUGAAGAAGGCCUUCGGGUUGUAAACCGCUUUUGUCAGGGAAGAAACGCUCUGGGCUAAUACCCCGGGGUAAUGACGGUACCUGAAGAAUAAGCACCGGCUAACUACGUGCCAGCAGCCGCGGUAAUACGUAGGGUGCAAGCGUUAAUCGGAAUUACUGGGCGUAAAGCGUGCGCAGGCGGUUAUGCAAGACAGAUGUGAAAUCCCCGGGCUCAACCUGGGAACUGCAUUUGUGACUGCAUAGCUAGAGUACGGUAGAGGGGGAUGGAAUUCCGCGUGUAGCAGUGAAAUGCGUAGAUAUGCGGAGGAACACCGAUGGCGAAGGCAAUCCCCUGGACCUGUACAGACGCUCAUGCACGAAAGCGUGGGGAGCAAAC
rnacentral:rRNA from 1 species